rnacentral:lncRNA from 1 species
GGGGAUGCCAAGUGGCCAAUCUUGAGAAAGAAGAACAAAGUAGGAGAACACACACUUCCCAAUUUCAAACAUUAUUACAGAGCUACAGUAAUUAAAAUGUAGUACUGCCAUCAGAAUAGACAUAUACAUCAAUGGGAAUCAAAUUGAGAGUACAGCAACAGUGCCGUACAGCUACAAGCAAUUGGUUUUCAGCAAUGGUGCCAAAACCGUUAUAUGUAGGGAAAAUUAGCCUUUCAACAAGUGGUACCGAUGCAACUGGACAUCCACAUGCAAAAGAAUGAAAUUGGACCUUUAGAUCAUUCCACGCACAAAAGUUCAUUCAAACUCAAUCAAAGACCUAACAUAAAGCUAAAACUAUAAACCUCUUGGAAAAAUGGGUGUAUUCUUCACAGUCAUGGAUUAUGCAAUGAUUUCAUAACUGUAACACCAAAAUCAUAAGCAGUGAAAUAAAAAAAUUAGCAAAUUCAGUUUCAUCAAAGUGUAAAACUUUUGUGCACUGGAGGACACCGUUAAUGAACUGAAAGACAAUCCACUGAACAGGAGAAAAAAUUUGGACUCAUACCUCAGAUAAGGAUCUAGUAUCCAGAAUGCAUGAAGAACUCAACAACAAAAAUACCAACAGCCCAAUUUAAAAAUGGGCAAAGGAUUUGAGUAGACGUUUCUUCAAAGAAGCUAUACAGAUAGUCAAUAAGUACAUGAGAAGAUGCCUAAUGUCAUCAGUCAUUAGGGAAAUGCAAAUCAAAGCCACAAUGAAAUAUCACUUCACCCACUAGGAUGGCUAGAAUUUAAAAGUCAAACUGGAAAAAUGUGGGUAAUGUGGGUACGUUGGAACCCAUUUGUACACUGCUCCUGGGAAUGUAAAGGAGUAAUUAGUACAAAUGCUGUGGGAAAAAAAAGGUGUGGCACUUGCUCAAAAAGUUAAAGUGUUACCAUAUGUGCUCCAGAAAUUUCACUCCUAGGUAUCUACCCAAGAGAAAUGAAAACCUAUGUUCACACAAAAGCUGGUGUUCACAGCACCAUUUUUCAUAAUAGCCCCAAAGUGGAAAUAAUGCAAAUGUCCAACUGAAAAAUGAAUCCAUACAAUGUGGAAGAGCAAUACAAGGAAUAUUCAUUCAUAAAAGGAGGAAAGUACUGACACGCCACAACAGGGAUGAACCUCAAAAACAUCAUGCCCAGUGACAGAGCCAGUCACCAAAGACCACGUAUUGUAUGAUUCCAUUUGGAUGAAAAGCCCAGCCUCGGAAAAUCUAUUGAGACAGAAAAUAGAUUCAUGGUUGCUUUUCUUUGGGGGUAUAGGGGAUUAGGGGUAAUAGCUAAGUAUUGUUAGGGUUUCUUUUUGAGUUGAUUAAAUGUUCUAUAAGUGUUCAUGCUGGAGUUCCCGUCGUGGCUCAGUGGUUAACGAACCCAACUAGGAACCAUGAAGUUGUGGGUUCGAUCCCUGGCCGUGCUCAGUGGGUUAAGGAUCUGGCAUUGCCGUGAGCUGUGGUGUAGGUUGCAGAAGUGGUUUGGAUCCUGCAGGGAGCCGAGAAAAUGCAGGGACUCAAAAAAAGGAACUUGCCUGAUAGCAGAAAAACCUGAAGGCAGGUUCUUAACCAAGAAAGGGAGCCCACCCAACGGUACAAGCCGAAGGUGGGCUUCUGGUCAGGAAAAAAGCUCACCUGAACGGUGCAUGCUGAAGGUGGGCCUCUGGUCAGGAUGAAAGCCUGCCUACACGGUACAAGCCAAGGGCAGGCCUCAGAUACACAGCUCUCACUUUGAUGUUGAUGGGGAAGAAUUGGGGCUUUCCUGGGAAAACAAUUUCCAUGUUUGCACUGGAGAACAUGGAUUGUUUCUCGGGUGACCUAAUCUUUCCUGUUGUUUUAUUUGUUAUUCAGUUUUUCUCAGUCUUUCCUGAUUAUUUACUUAUUAUUCUUAUUUCACACUCUUAUUGUUCUGUGGUGAUUUGUGACUUAACAAAAUUACAACAAUAGUAUAAUAAAAAUUUCAUCCUGAAGGACUUUUCCCCUAUUUGAAUCCAACUUAGUUAAAACAUAGUGUUUAUCUAUUAACUAGUUAUAUAGUAACUUUAGAGUUAGGAUUUUAAUGAGCCGACGUCCAUCCAUCUUCUUUGGGAAAAAACCUAGGCUCACUGGCCUCCGGCAGGAUCCCGUGUUGCUAUGGCUCUGGCGUAGGCCGGUGGCUACAGCUUCGAUGGGACCCCUAGCCUGGGAACCUUCAUAUGCUGCGGGAGUGGCCCUAGAAAAGGUAAAAAGACAAAAAUAAAUAAAUAAAAUAAAAUAAAAUUGUUCAUGCUAACGGAUACAAACUCUGUGACUAUACUAAAAGCCAUCGGAUUGUAUACUUUAAGUAGGUGAAUUAUAUGCUGUGUAAACUAUAUCUCAAUAAAGCUAUUUAAAAAGCAACGCCAUCAAGGAGGAACUCAGAAUGAUGCCAUUUGCUUUUUUUCUGUCCUUGGUCACUUGGCUGGGUCUUGGCUAUGACAGAUAGGAGAUUCUUUAAGAAACUCUGGGUAGCAGAAAGAAAAAAUGAUUUUUUUACCUGUUUUUCUUGGAGAACCAAAUAGCUUUCCUUGGGAAUGGGCCUUCGUCAUUCACUUGGGAUUCGGAGGAGAAACCAAAACUAGGCAAUGCUCUUUGUUGAGCAUUUAAGCGGGCAAGGAAGAACUGGGAAGAGAGGUGUUUCCAUGGAAAGGUGGAAGGCGAGGAUGCUCUUUGAGAGAAAUGACUGAGGGACUCCAGAAAAGAGAAGCCUCUGCUGAAUCACACUGUGAUAUGACUGUCCCUUACGGUUGCCCCUGAAUCAGCAGUAGGACUCUGCUGUCUUUUCUGUGUGGUAUUGAGGAGUAUGAAUUUUAAAAGUAGGGACUUGUUCCCCCUCCCCAACAUGAAUUGCUUCUGUGCUGGAAACAGUGGAGCCACUGCCAUGCCCAAAGCAAAAAAUGAGGACUGAGCAAAAAUCAGAACUGUCAGUGGUCCAGGGGUCGUAAGCCUCUAAGUGCACAGUAAUCGCCCUAAAGAGUGGAGCUGGGUGUUAGAAUACAUUGACUCUCUAUAUACAAGGACACUGGGUUCCAUAUGCCUGGAAGGCCAGAGUUUCUGAAAAUAACAUACGCUGUGGGGCUGAGCGCAUUCCUAGGUUACAGAACUUGGAAGGUGGUGGUGGGGAGCAGAAAAUGUGAACAACAGGAGAAAUAAGUGGAGUCAUUCAGACAGGAAGGAAGACUGUCCUCAGCAAUAGGAAUGUCACCAACAGUGGUCGGUGUUUCCUGCGCAAGACCGCGAGAGGUACAGUUUUACAGAGGCUUGCUGGCUGACACUGGAACCAAGACCAUGAAAACUGCGAUGCUGACACCAGGGGAUGCUGGUGAGAAGGCACAAGCAGGAGCUCUCCAAGAAAAAGCUUCAGACAGCAUGGCCUCCCCCAUGGCUCCUAGAUAUGCUUCAACAGCCUCUAAGUUGCCGUGGAGAUAAAUUCCCACCCACUGGACCCUGGGAAGAAGAUCCAGUCAUUGAGUUUCCUUCAGAGGUGAGCCAGGUGGCUUUGUAACUCUGCAAAAUAGAGAAUCAAGCCGAAGCUGAGACUUUCUAAGUGGGAAGAGACCAAAAUGGAAGGGCUAGAGGUACAACCGACGGAGCAUUCUGGUCCUGGUUCCUUGGAAGGAACCUUCAAGUUGACAGGGAUAGCAGCGGGGAGAUGGGUUGGGAGCAGUGGUCAGAACACAUCUGCCUGGAACCUGGUUUUCUACUUUGUACCUCGCGGGCCCUGAACUUCCCCGAGAGCGAGGGACCUGCCGUGGGAGGGGAUGUGGGCUAAUUCGUCAGGGGCAGGUAGAAGGAGGCACAUCAGCGCCCCUUGCACCUGCUUCUCGAGGCUGUUCUUUGGUCCCCACUGCCGGGGAGGUACCAGUUGGUUCCUUGUGCCUUUUGGAGCUCCCUGAAGUUGGGGAGUAGUUAGAAGAGGGAGACCUGUGCUUCCAGGCCUUCCACAAUCUCCCCAGGCCCAGGAGCACCAGCUCCCAAAGAGUGAACAGAAGACAGAGCCCGGUGGUCCCAAACAUGGUCCUUAGGAAGAUGGUCUUCUCAGAGGGGCGAGGCAGCGUACAGCUGAUACUGCCGAGGCACGGCUCCCGCCGGCAGGUGACAGAGCUGGGCAUCCUGAACCCGUACAGAUGGUACUGCCCCCCCAAGGCCGCCCCCUCCAGGGCCAGCCGCACCCCCAGCUGUGCCAGGUAGGCCCAGAGCAGCCAGGGGCUUGCAGCCCCCAAGGCAUCUCCCCUCUCCCCCGCUUGGCAGGUCAGGGUCUCCUCUUCCUUCUUCCCCUUUUCUGAUUCUUCCCAGCGCCAGAUCACGUGAUACAGAAGGAGCCCCAUGUAGAGGGCGCUGGGCACAGCCACCAGGGUGACCUGGAAGGCCCAGAAGCGCAGCGGGGAGAGAGGGUGGAAGGCAUCAUAGCAGGCAGCCUUGCAGCCCUGCUGCUGGGUGUGACACACGAAUUCGCUCUGCUCGUCGCCAUAGACCCCAGGCCCAGCGGCGACCAGCAGCACCAGGCGGAAUGCCAGGAGCACAGGCAGCAGGAGGCGCCCGACAGGGGUGGAGUACCGGCUCUCCUCCACCACCAGCCGCCUCAGGAACCUGCCACACAUCCUGCUGUGAGCAGAGCGCAGUGGUGAGGGUGGGCGAGCCGCCGUUGUCCUUUAGCAGCUCCGGGGCACCUCCUCACUCCUGAUCCAAGGAUGGGUAAGGCAGGCUUCCUUCCUCCUCUCCUAGGACCUGGUGGAUCAAACACCAAGAAUUUGUGCCUUUUUAUAGUUAAUGGAAUCAUCUAUGUAAAAUAUUCAUAGGACGUGGGCGUGGCCGUCUUACCUGUCCCCGCUCCUGCACUGCGGGAGUGGAGAGGAACUCCAGGCAUUUGGGUGGUGUUGGGGGCAUUCAGGGUCGGUCUUUGUCUGUCUCUUUCCCUCCCUCCCAAAGGCUAAAUAAUCAGAGACCAGAGUGCCCCCAAAACUGUUGUUCCUCCCGGUGAUGGCUGCCCAGUCUGGUGCUACGGUCAUUGUCACCUGAAGGAAAUCAGUGCUGACCUUGGCAGGGAUGUGUGUUCCUUGGUCUGCCUGCUCUUCUCUGGCUCCAGGCCCUCAGGCGCUCACAGGUGUGUCGGUCUGGCCUCUGCUUCCAUCGCAGAGGUGAGACCGAGAUGAGGUUGGGUUGGGGGGCCGGAUGGGGAUCCAGUGAGCAGAGUGAGUGUCAAGGCUUCUUCAGUCUUAUGUUCUUUAGACCUAACCAGCUUAGGAAAGGAGAAUGCCUGGGAGAAAAUCCUGCAGGAUCUACCCUAUGUCAUGUAACGGGGUGCGGGCCAAAGCCAGAGCUGAGUGGCUAGAAAUACAAAAUUGGACUCUGCUUUGUCCCUGCUCCCUGGGCAGUGUCCUCCCUUGUGUCCCCAUGGUCAAGGACAGGCUUCAGAAAUUCUUCACCCCUCUGGACAACGUGCCAGCAUGCUACAAGCCCAGUUACCAUCUCCAUCCCUGUGCUCAGCAGCCCUCCCCAGUGCCCAGCUGCUCUUUCCGGCCCUUCCUCCACAGCCCAGACUCUUCCAGGCUGCUUCCUCUCACCCUCAGAAGACCAGGCAAACCUCUCACUCCAGAGAAAAUAGAUUCUUCCAUAUAAAACCCUGCGUCUACUUCUUCUCUUCUUAGUCACUUCCUACUCUACAGCUUAGGGAAAGAAGCAUCUUUCCCCUUCUCCAAGGCCACACUCCCUUUCAAAUCUGUGUCCUGGGUUGCUCUUUCCAGCUUCUUCAGGCAUUUGACCCCCAAAUUACCUUGCCUGUCAUUCAGACCCUUCUUGUUUCCUCUCUGACCUUGAACUUGCUUAGGUUUCUUCCUGUUAAGUCGAAUAAUAAUAACUUGAAUUUCUAAGGUAACAUGACAGCUCAUUUAUCUUGUAUCAGUUUCCCAAUUUUAAUACCUGAGAGAUGCACAAAACAAUUUAAAAUGGGUAUUAGUGUUUGAUUUCUCUUGUGGUGCAGCAGGUUUAGGAUCUGGCCUUGUCACUGCAGCGGCUUGGGUCACUGCUAUUGUGCAGUUUCUAGCCCUGGCCCAGGAACUUUCACAGCACACAAACACAGCCAAAAAAAAAAAAAA